UCUUGGGUGUUUAGCCCCCGCGAAACAUGCAGUCUAUUUGUGUGUGUAACACUCUAGUCGAGAUUUCUAGAAGGCAAGAGUGAGUGGAUUCUUCGCUCACUCAAACAAUGCAAGAGCUAAUGAUGGCUGGGGACUUCUGUCCAAGCCUUCGUGUGUCGUAUGUGAUACAAGGCUGUCCAAGGGACGUCACUCCGAAAGAGGAAAGCAGCAACGGGAAAUGGCUAUACCAAUACAGGACACCACUUACAAUCAAGAUGUGUGCUUCUAGACUUGUGGAUUAUCUACUUUCUGAUUGCAUUCAGUUCAAGCUUGAUACCAUGUGCUGGUGGUGCCACGAUUUCUUGUAAUUUUGGUUUUUCUUUUGAGAAUUAAGGCAGAUGACCCUGUUGAACAUGUUCUGUUCUUGGCGAGAAGAGAAUACGAACCUCGCGCUUCUCAUGUCCGCACAUGCGCACAAACUGAACAAAAAAAAAAUUGGGAAACGAAUGAUGAAGAAAAAAAAAAGGUUUCUGAAAAUAUGAACAGACGAAAGAAGGCACUGCUUACUUAUAUACUCUGGAAGUAUACAAUGUCUACGAAAUGUCAUAUCUGUAGCCAACAGACAAUGGAAAGUUUAUUCUAUUUUUAAAGAAAGAUUCAAUACACUUCAGAAAUCACGGAUUACAUAUUUCAUGGAUUAUUGGAUAUUUUAUUUUCCAAUUGACAAAGAUGUGAGAACAAGAGAUAAAGAGACACUUAGAUCAAAGAGAAAUAUGGAGCAGACGUGACAAGUCUUAACAGUAAAAAA